UAAGCUCUCGUAUCAGCGUUCGUUUACGAGUGAGCUCAAGGCAAGAAUGCUUCGGUGAGUGUCAAUCGCGCAUUAGCCUUGAGAAGAAUUAUAAUUUAAGAACGCUAGUUAUUUAUUGAUGCUGCGAACUCUUCUUGAAGCACUCUACGAGCUCAUUUGACAAGCGAUGUCGAAAACAAUUUGAUGUUUAAAAAAUGAUGAUUCUAGACAAGAAGAACAUCUGGCAGUAUAUCUCACAGUUGGCGAUGCGGUUACAACUAUGCAGCAGCAAAACAAACGCAACACUUCAUUUCGUUAGGGCCCAUUCUGUUACCCUGUGCAGAUAACUGGCUUCUUAAUGACCAGCACUCCUUUCAUGGCCAUAAUUCAACGCACCAAGGCAUUCUAUUAAACUUCUACUUUCUGCUGCACGUGUUAAACUUCUACUUCCUGCUGCACGUGUUAUAUUAAGGAUUGCCGAAGGUGCUAUAAAAAUAAAGUGGCAACAUGCUCAUUAAAGGGCUGUGUGUCAUGUCACUCUUGUGGUGGUCACUUGCACAGGCCAGCUGGAACCGCGUUCAAUAUGUUGAAGUUUCGGUCAACGUCACUGGACGGCACUGCACUUAUGAUAAUCACAACUUCACAGAUAAAAUGAACCCGAACAAAACUUGCGAGGAGCGUUGGUGUUACUUAAAAAGAAAAACGGUGGCACUCCUGACGUGCAAGGCUCCUAAACCCGGCUGUCAUUUUAAGGAAGGGAACAGGAAAUUUCCUAAAUGUUGCAAGACGAAGUGUCACAAGUCCAGGCAGCCCUGCGUCAUCAAAGGGACGGAUGACUUGUUGCCAGAUGGGCAGAUACGCAAUUCUACAGAUCCCUGUGUGAAGUACGAGUGCCACAACGGAAACCUCACGGUAACAAAGUGUGUUGGAGCCGAUGACAAGAAAUGCGAAAGUUCUUUUGCCAACAAGACAGAGCCAUUUCCUGCCUGCUGUGGUCCAGCUACUGUUUGCGUUAAAUAAUGACACCAGGAGAUGGUAAUCAUUAAUGUUGAAUGCAGCAUGCGUGCAUCAUGUCUUGCUCACCAACACAUGGAGCCUAUACUUUAUUACCGUAAAAAUAAUAUUCCUUAUAAAUGUAUGGCAAUCGCAAGACAAGGGAAAUAAAGCUUUGCUCGAC